UGCCAUUUUGAAGCUGAUUCCACCAAUGUGUGUCAAGCACUUGGGAAAAUGGUUAGGUGAGAUUGCAACCUUGAGGCGACCGUCAGGUCACGAAUGGAGUGUUCACAUACGUACAGAGAGAGAUGGCACAUUUUUUAGCGACGGUUGGCAGACAUUUUAUGAAGACAAUGAUCUUGACAUUGGUGAACUUGUGUUCUAUACAUAUCUUGGAGGCAUGCACUUUGAUGUUGAAAUUUUUAUCAAAGAUGGACUAGAGAAGGUGUGGGACUGUGGUGUUAUUCAAAAUUCUAAUGAAGAAAGUGAUCAUGAUAAUCCUUCAACCACUCCAGUUCGAUGCAGCACAUGCUGAAAGAGCUAUCAUACCAUGAGAUGUUUUCCAACAUGGAAGCCAAUGCAAGACUGUUUUAAGAAAUUUGAAACAAAAAUCUUGGAUAGGGAAAGUUCACUGAAUGAUGGUAUUUAUUAAUGUUUUUACUUUUAUGUUGACAAUUAUUGUAUUCUAGAAUUUUACUCCGGAAUUCUUAUCAAUUAUCUAGAAAAUCUACCUGUUAAGAAUUCUGUAUGACAAGAGGAAAAUUGAGUACAAUUUUAAGGAGUCUAAAUGAGAAAGAAUGUGCUGUCUAA